rnacentral:rRNA from 1 species
AGUGAACGCUGGCGGUAGGCCUAACACAUGCAAGUCGAACGGCAGCACAGUAAGAGCUUGCUCUUACGGGUGGCGAGUGGCGGACGGGUGAGGAAUACAUCGGAAUCUACUUUUUCGUGGGGGAUAACGUAGGGAAACUUACGCUAAUACCGCAUACGACCUACGGGUGAAAGCAGGGGAUCUUCGGACCUUGCGCGAUUGAAUGAGCUGAUGUCGGAUUAGCUAGUUGGCGGGGUAAAGGCCCACCAAGGCGACGAUCCGUAGCUGGUCUGAGAGGAUGAUCAGCCACACUGGAACUGAGACACGGUCCAGACUCCUACGGGAGGCAGCAGUGGGGAAUAUUGGACAAUGGGCGCAAGCCUGAUCCAGCCAUACCGCGUGGGUGAAGAAGGCCUUCGGGUUGUAAAGCUCUUUUGUUGGGAAAGAAAAGCAGCAGGUUAAUACCCCGCUGUUCUGACGGUACCCAAAGAAUAAGCACCGGCUAACUUCGUG